CGCGUAGCUUGUAUGAUUUCGCCCUUAUAUGUUGCAACGCCUUGAACUUAUCAGCACCUCCUUUCUUGUGGUGGAAAUGAAUGAUUCGAUGUAUUCAUGAACAUUUUGUGCAGUUCCCAUUGAAAUCAAGCUGAGCACCCCUGUUUUCACAAAUACAAAAAAGUGAUUAGUAUAAAGCAAACUGUACUAUGAAUUGACAGUUUCAACAGGCACAUACAUGGUCCAUAUAGAGCACACUUUUAGAAAAAUGGAACUCACCAGAAAGAAUCCUAGAACAACAUUGUACUCGCGCAUCACAGAAAAAAAUGGAGAUUUGUCAGUCCUUCUGAGCUGAAGUUAGUUUGGUCUUGUGGGGAGUAAUGUAACCAUCCUUCAAC
rnacentral:lncRNA from 1 species